ACCCUGAGGGGUAGAUCAAUAGGUAAACCAUGAGACUCGUAAUCUCAGAGUCAUGGAUUCAAGCCCCACAUUGGGCA